AUCUGUAAAGCUUUGAUUUUUAUGCAUUUAAUCAACUGAUUGUUUGAUUUGGUGAAAUGGGGUUGCUUUAUAUUUGUCUAAUUUUUGUGGGUUUUUGUUGUUUUGGGUUUUUACUUCUGAUUCUUGAUAAUCUGCAAAUUUGUGAUUUUUGUGCAUUUAAUCAACUGGUUGUUUGAUUUGAUGAAAUGGGGUUGUUUUAUAUUUGUCUAAUUUUUGUGGGGUUUGCUUGUUUUGGGUUUCUACACAUGAUUCUUGGAUAUUCAGCAUCUUGAUAAUCUGCAAAGUUGUGAUUUUUGUGCAUAUAAUUAACUGAUUGUUUGAUUUGGUGAAAUGGGGUUGCUUUGUAUUUGUAAAAUUUUGUGGGUUUUUGUUGUUUUGGGUUUUUACUUGUGAUUCUUGGAUAUUCAGCAUCUUGAUAAUCUGCAAAGUUGUGAUUUUUUUGCAUAUAAUCAACUGAUUGUUUGAUUUGGUGAAAUGGGGUUGCUUUAUAUUUGUCUAAUUUUUGUGGGGUUUGGUUAUUUUGGUUUUUUACUUGUGAUUCUUGGAUAUUCAGCAUCUUGAUAAUCUCAAAGUUGUGAUUUUUUUGCAUAUAAUUAACUGAUUGUUUGAUUUGGUGAAAUGGGGUUGCUUUAUAUUUGUCUGAUUUUUGUGGGUUUUUGUUGGUUUGGGUUUUGUACUUCUGAUUCUUGGAUAUUCAGGCUGUUUACCAUUUGUGUGCUUUGACCUGGAUCUUGAUAUCAUAAUCAAUGACUUAAUAUUAUACUACUUGAUUGUUGUGGUGAUAUGUUAUGGAAGUGCACCGAUGACCGUUCCCUUGGUUAAUUUAGUGUAUUGAAGAUCAGAGUUCAAUCACAUAAGAAAAAAAAAAAAAAAAAAAAAGGUCAGAUGAUUUGUUCAUAUUUGGCUAAGCCUUGGAGGGCAGAGUCACCCGAUACCGGUGCUAGUAGAGGAAUGCAGGUAUCCGAAGGAAUAGUCGAGUGGUGCGCCUAAGAUGGCCUCAACACUAGUCAUAUAAAAAAAAGUAAAUUUGGGACAAAUUACGGUUCAAUCUGCUAAAUGGUAGUCAAUGAAGUGGGUUGGGAACCAUGAGGUCUCAGGUUAGCAGAGACAAAACACUAGGUGAUUUCUUCCCAUUUAUCCUAGCCUUGGUGGAUAGAGUUAUCUGUUGCUGGUGUGAGGUGGCAGGUAUCCCGUGGAAUUAGUCAAGGUGCGCGCAAGCUGGUCGGGACACCACGGUUUU